rnacentral:rRNA from 1 species
GACGAACGCUGGCGGCGUGCUUAACACAUGCAAGUCGAACGGAAAGGCCCUGCUUUUGUGGGGUGCUCGAGUGGCGAACGGGUGAGUAACACGUGAGUAACCUGCCCUUGACUUUGGGAUAACUUCAGGAAACUGGGGCUAAUACCGGAUCGGAUCUCCUGCUGCAUGGUGGGGGUUGGAACGUUUCGGCGGUUGGGGAUGGACUCGCGGCUUAUCAGCUUGUUGGUGGGGUAGUGGCUUACCAAGGCUUUGACGGGUAGCCGGCCUGAGAGGGUGACCGGCCACAAUGGGACUGAGAUACGGCCCAGACGCGUACGGGAGGCAGCAGUGGGGAAUAUUGCACAAUGGGCGGAAGCGUGAUGCAGAAACGCCGCGUGCGGGAUGACGGCCUUCGGGUUGUAAACCGCUUUAGCCUGUGACGAAGCGUGAGUGACGGUAAUGGGUAAAGAAGCACCGGCUAACUACGUG